GAUGAAGAACGCAACGAAAUGCGAUAAGUAAUGUGAAUUGCAGAAUUCAGUGAAUCAUCGAAUCUUUGAACGCACCUUGCGCCCUUUGGCUAUUCCGAAGGGCAUGCCUGUUUGAGUAUCAUGAACACCUCAACUCUUCACGGCUUGCCGUGAUGAGUUUGGACUUUGGGGGUCUUGCUGGCCUACGAGCCAGCUCCUCUCAAAUGUAUUAGCUUGCCGGUGUUUGGUGGCAUCACAGGUGUGAUAACUAUCUACGCUUGUGGUUUUCCACUAGGUAACCUUCAGCAAUGGAGGUUCACCGGAGCUCACAAAUGUCUCUCCUUGCCAAGGACAGAUUUUGACCAUUUGAUCUCAAAUCAGGUAGGACUACCCGCUGAACUUAAGCAUAUCAAUAAGCGGAGGA
rnacentral:misc_RNA from 1 species